CUUAGGGCUUUGAUAGGAGAUCUAGAAAAGUGGACAGAUAAACCUAUCUCUUGGAUAGGCCGUAUUAAUUCUGUAAAAAUGAACAUCCUUCCAUGCAUCCUAUUUUUAUUUCAAGCAUUAACUGUCCGCGUCACAAAAAACGCAACUGAUACUGUUACAAAGAUCGAUAGGAGAUUUAAUUUGUCAGAACAAGAGGCACAGAAUCUCUAUACAAGUUCUGUAUAGACGUAAAGACAGAGGGGGAUUGAGCCUACUGAGUUUAUAU